rnacentral:tRNA from 1 species
GGAGAGGUGGCUCAGCGGUUAAGAGCACUGACUGCUUUUCGGAAGGUCCUGAGUUCAAAUCCCAGCAACCUCA